AUUUAUUGUUACUGUUUUUAUUUUGAAGCUAUCAGAAAAAAAUAUAAUGGAAUACUAUGAGAAGUAUAAGCCGAGAAUGAAUGAACUGGAAGCAUUUAAUAUGCUGAAAGUUGUUCUUGCUCCAUGCAUAGAAACACUGAUUCUCCUGGAUCGACUUUGCUACCUGAAAGAGCAGGAAGAUAUUGCAUGGUCUGCACUUGUGAAGUUGUUUGAUCCUGUGAAGUCUCCUAGAUGUUAUGCUGUUAUUGCUCUGAAGAAGCAACAAUGAUUUCAACUGAAGCAAGUUAUUAUUUGUAUGUUUCUGGGACUUAUUGCUAAGAUUGUUUUCCU